rnacentral:tRNA from 1 species
GUCUUCGUGGUGUAAUUGGUAAGCACAUCCGGCUGGUAGUCGGAAGGUCCAGAGUUCGAAUCCCGAUGAGUGCA